rnacentral:rRNA from 1 species
UACGUAGGGUGCGAGCGUUGUCCGGAAUUAUUGGGCGUAAAGAGCUUGUAGGCGGUUUGUCGCGUCUGCUGUGAAAAUCCGGGGCUCAACCCCGGACUUGCAGUGGGUACGGGCAGACUAGAGUGUGGUAGGGGGAGACUGGAAUUCCUGGUGUAGCGGUGAAAUGCGCAGAUAUCAGGAGGAACACCGAUGGCGAAGGCAGGUCUCUGGGCCACUACUGACGC